rnacentral:rRNA from 1 species
AUGGCUUCAAACAAACCUUCGGAUGCUACUUCAGCAGGGGCGCAGGAGAUUGACGAUGUGGAAGCAAUGAUGCAGGAAUUGGGUCUUUGGGAGGAGGACCUAGAUGAUGUGGUGUUUGAUGAGGAAUCUGCACCACCUGUGGCUGCCCGCUGGAUAGCCCUGGCUAGGGUUCAUUGCACCAAAACCUACAGCCAAUUCUGGUUCUACAGGAACAUGAGAACAGCGUGGAAUCUGGCACAAGAGGUGAAGUUCAAACCGUUGGAGGACAAUCUGUACACAGUUCAAUUCUCUUGCCUUGGGGAUUGGGAGCGGAUUACUCAGGAAGGUCCAUGGCACUUUAGAGGAGAUAUUGUAAUACUAAAACCGUACGAUGGCAUAGCCAAACCAUCGACAGUACAGCUUGAUUCCAUCGAUAUCUGGGUGCAAGUGCAUGACGUACCACCUCUUUAUGCCCAUCUGGUGCCGUCCCUCGCAUCAAAAGUGUCACACCCUAGCUAG